rnacentral:rRNA from 1 species
UACGUGCUAGGAUGAACGCUAGCGACAGGCCUAACACAUGCAAGUCAGGGGCAGCACAGGAGCAAUCUGAGGUGGCGACCGGCGCACGGGUGAGUAACACGUAUGCAACCUGCCUGUAAGCGGGGAAUAACCCGUUGAAAGACGGACUAAUACCGCAUAAUACUAAAUUACUGCAUGGUAAUUUGUUUAAACAUUUAUGGCUUACAGAUGGGCAUGCGCAUGAUUAGCUAGUUGGAGAGGUAACGGCUCCCCAAGGCAACGAUCAUUAGGGGUUCUGAGAGGAAGGUCCCCCCACACUGGUACUGAGACACGGACCAGACUCCUACGGGAGGCAGCAGUGAGGAAUAUUGGUCAAUGGACGAGAGUCUGAACCAGCCAAGUCGCGUGCAGGAAGAAUGUCCUAUGGAUUGUAAACUGCUUUUGCAGGGGAAUAAAGUGCAUCACGUGUGAUGUUUUGUAUGUACUCUGCGAAUAAGGAUCGGCUAACUCCGUGCCAGCCGCCGC